GUUGUGAACUCGAAGAGUAGGGCGGGACACGUGGUAUCCUGUCUGAAUAUGGGGGGACCAUCCUCCAAGGCUAAAUACUCCUGACUGACCGAUAGUGAACCAGUACCGUGAGGGAAAGGCGAAAAGAACCCCGGCGAGGGGAGUGAAAAAGAACCUGAAACCGUGUACGUACAAGCAGUGGGAGCACCUUCGUGGUGUGACUGCGUACCUUUUGUAUAAUGGGUCAGCGACUUAUAUUCUGUAGCAAGGUUAACCGUAUAGGGGAGCCGAAGGGAAACCGAGUCUUAACUGGGCGUUAAGUUGCAGGGUAUAGACCCGAAACCCGGUGAUCUAGCCAUGGGCAGGUUGAAGGUUGGGUAACACUAACUGGAGGACCGAACCGACUAAUGUUGAAAAAUUAGCGGAUGACUUGUGGCUGGGGGUGAAAGGCCAAUCAAACCGGGAGAUAGCUGGUUCUCCCCGAAAGCUAUUUAGGUAGCGCCUCGUGAACUCAUCUUCGGGGGUAGAGCACUGUUUCGGCUAGGGGGCCAUCCCGGCUUACCAACCCGAUGCAAACUACGAAUACCGAAGAAUGUUAUCACGGGAGACACACGGCGGGUGCUAACGUCCGUCGUGAAGAGGGAAACAACCCAGACCGCCAGCUAAGGUCCCAAAGUCAUGGUUAAGUGGGAAACGAUGUGGGAAGGCACAGACAGCCAGGAUGUUGGCUUAGAAGCAGCCAUCAUUUAAAGAAAGCGUAAUAGCUCACUGGUCGAGUCGGCCUGCGCGGAAGAUGUAACGGGGCUAAACCAUG
rnacentral:rRNA from 1 species